rnacentral:rRNA from 1 species
CACGUAGGGUGCGAGCGUUGUCCGGAAUUAUUGGGCGUAAAGAGCUCGUAGGCGGUGUGUCGCGUCGGCCGUGAAAACCUGCAGCUUAACUGUGGGCUUGCGGUCGAUACGGGCAUCACUGGAGUUCGGCAGGGGAGACUGGAAUUCCUGGUGUAGCGGUGAAAUGCGCAGAUAUCAGGAGGAACACCGGUGGCGAAGGCGGGUCUCUGGGCCGAUACUGACGCUGAUGCGCGACAGCGUGGGGAGCAAACAGG